rnacentral:rRNA from 1 species
GACUCUCGGCAACGGAUAUCUCGGCUCUCGCAUCGAUGAAGAACGUAGAGAAAUGCGAUACCUGGUGUGAAUUGCAGAAUCCCGCGAACCAUCGAGUCUUUGAACGCAAGUUGCGCCCGAGGCCACUCGGCUGAGGGCACGCCUGCCUGGGCGUCA